rnacentral:miRNA from 1 species
UGUAGUGUUUCAUACUUUAUGG